rnacentral:rRNA from 1 species
AACGCUAGCGGCGAGCUUAACACAUGCAAGUCGAGCGGAGGGUUUCGGCCUCAGCGGCGGACGGUGAGUAACACGUAGGUUACGUGCCCUUUGGUGGGAAUAACUUAGGGAAACCUGAGCUAAUACCGCAUAUGCCCUUCGGGGUGAAAGUCUUCGGACGCCAGAGGAUCGGCCUGCGGCCCAUUAUUUAAUCCUUGUUGGUGGGGUAACGGCCUACCAAGGGUACGAUGGGUAGCUGGUCUGAGAGGAUGAUCAGCCACACUGGGACUGAGACACGGCCCAGACUCCUACGGGAGGCAGCAGUGGGGAAUAUUGGACAAUGGGCGCAAGCCUGAUCCAGCAAUGCCGCGUGUGUGAAGAAGGCCUGCGGGUUGUAAAGCACUUUCAGUGGGGAAGAACAGAUUCGGGUCAAUACCCCGGAGCCCUGACGUUACCCACAGAAGAAGCACCGGCUAACUCCGUG